CCGGGUGGGCCUGCGGCCUGCAGCGCCAUGGCGGGAGCAACCGCCGCUCAAUCGGCCUCCAUCCGGCACCGGAUCGAAACGGAGCCCCCCAGGAUGAGGAGGGGGAAGUACGGCCGCCCUUCGCCGACGAUGUCCGCGGACUAUCCGUUCCCCUCUCGGCUCGGGCUGGCCUGAAUUGGGGAAAACUUAAGAUGGGGCCGGUGGAAACGAAAUUAGCAGAAAGAAGAUGCACUUUGGAGGUGCCUCCUUAAAUGUGCAGGUCAGUACUGAACACCUGCAAGUGUACCCAAGCGAAAAAUAAAGACAGCUGCUAUUAUUUCAUCGUCCUUAAAGUAAGUUUUGAAGUCUGGAACGGGGACAAAAACGUCCUACUCUAAGGUCACCAGUCCGAUGACCUUGUCAAAUACGGUGGCCUCUACUCCUAUUCUUCAGCCUUUCAGCUGCCUUCAACACUGGACCACACCCUUCUGGAAACAUCUAACCUUGGCUUCACAAGAGAGAACAAGAGGGCUAAAUCCAGUUGCUGCUAAGAAGUGUCUAACCAGUUAUUCAACCUGCUUAGUAAUAUUUGAAUAGCUUUUCUUUACUAUUUUGGCAAUAAACCAUCAAAAUUA